GUCCACGCUGUAAACGAUGAGAACUAGAUGUUGGGAGUGUUUUGCCUCUCAGUGUCGCAGCUAACGCGCUAAGUUCUCCGCCUGGGGAGUACGGCCGCAAGGUUGAAACUCAAAGGAAUUGACGGGGACCCCGCACAAGCGGUGGAGCAUGUGGUUUAAUUCGAUGCAACGCGAAGAACCUUACCUGGUCUUGACAUCCCAGGAACCUCGCAGAGAUGUGGGGGUGCCUUCGGGAACCUGGAGACAGGUGCUGCAUGGCUGUCGU
rnacentral:rRNA from 1 species